GGGCUGAGUGUUUCCAGUCAACGAGGAAAAGCCAGAAGCCCCACUGUUUGAGUAUGGUGCUGAGGGAAUCAAAGCCGGUGGAGUUUCAGGGGUGCCAGUGCACCUGUGUGGCAGGUACAGUCCUGUGCAGCCAUGUGGCAGCUCUGCUUUUCCAGACGGCUCACUACUCCCAGUUGAAGCUUCCAGCUGUUCCUCCAGUCCUAAGCUGCACAGACACCGAACAGAAGUGGCAUAAACCGAGGACAAUGGGCAUAAAACCUGGUCCAGUUAAGGACAUGGUCGUCCUGUCAGCAAAACCAAGAGAGAGGAAAAUCUUUGAAGGAAUUAGAAGCAACUUGUAUAAAGGCACUACCAGCCCUCUGCCACUCAUCUCGACCCUAAGGAUACAGGAUGUGUACCGGGGACUUCCAGCUGAAGAAGCGCCAAUGAUCACCACAAUGGCUGUCUCCAACGAUGUCCCUCUUGUUGACUCUUUGUUUGGUCCAGUACAAGAGGGAAGUGUUCUGUCAUAUCAGCUGCCAGCAAAGGUAGUUCCCAGGACCCGUCCACACCAACACGUCCUUUCUCCCCCACAGCUUCCACUCUACAAUUACAGGCUUGAACACUCCAGCUGUGCGUAUGUAUGUUCAGAACAACAGCAACACCAUAUGAUGUCCCUUGAGACAACGUUAGAGAUGUCUCACAAAAUUGAGAGCAGCACACGGGAGCAGAGCUUCUGUCCAGAGUGGCACCAACUAAGAAAGUGUCGUGUUACUUCAACAAGGUUUAGGGAGGUCUGUCACACCAGGGGUGACAGCUCUUCUGAAAAUCUUGCGAAAAGGCUUCUGAGACCCUGCAGUCAAACUGCUGACAUGCGUCGGGGGCUUACCCUAGAGCCAACAGCUAUAGAGGAGUAUUGCAGGGUAAGGGAAGUAAACCACUACCCAUGUGGGUUCUUGAUACAUCCUGAA